rnacentral:misc_RNA from 1 species
UCGAAACCUGCCAUGCAGAAUGACCCGUGAACUAGUCAUCUACCUUGGUUGUGUUUAGUGUUGUCACAUUCACUUGCACAACCUACUCCCGGUGAAAGGAAUUUUUCCUUGAACCAGGACUAACAAUGAACCCGGCGUUAAAAGCGCCAAGGAAAUGAAAUGAGAGACAACAAGCCUUGUUGUGUUGUUUAUUCGACCCAACAAGUGAAUGUUGUACCUCCAAAAUGUCUAUAACGACUCUCGGCAACGGAUAUCUCGGCUCUCGCAUCGAUGAAGAACGUAGCGAAAUGCGAUACUUGGUGUGAAUUGCAGAAUCCCGUGAACCAUCGAGUCUUUGAACGCAAGUUGCGCCCAAGGUCUUCGGGCUGAGGGCACGUCUGCCUGGGUGUCACGCACUCGUUGCCCCCACUCUCUUGUCCUUAAUUGGUCGAAGAGAUGGAGGUGGAAUUUGGUCUCCCGUGUGCUCCCGCUUGCGGUUGGCCUAAAAUUGAGUCCCCGGCGUUGAGCGUCGUGACAUGCGGUGGUUGAAACAUUUCUCCAGCAAACAUAUCGCGUGCGCUCAAUUCCAAUUACGUGGGCCUUUGAGACCCUCUAUCAUCCUUUUGCGACCCCAGGUCAGGC